ensembl:snRNA U6 U6 spliceosomal RNA
GUGCUCACUUCAGCAGCACAGAUACCAAAAUUGGAUACAGAGAAGAUUAGCAUGGCCCCUGCGCAAGGAUGACGUGCAAGUUCGUGAAGCGUUCCAUAUUUUU